ensembl:snRNA U1 U1 spliceosomal RNA
AUACUUACGCCUGGCCAAGGGGAGAUACCAUGAUCAAAAGAAGGUGGUUCACCCAGGGUGAGGGGCUCGUCCAUUGCACUUCCGGAUGUGCCUGACCCUGCCCGAAUUUCCCCAAAUGUGGGAAUCUCGCUGCAUAAUUUCUGGUAGUGGGGACUGCGUUCGCGCUCUCCCCCC